rnacentral:rRNA from 1 species
CUUUAGAGGAAGUACAAGUCGUAACANGUUUCCAUAGGUGAUCCUGCGUCAGGAUCAUUA